AUGGUGAGAGGUUAGAUCAUAUCCCCAAGACAUACUAACCCCCCCUGUUAUUGGUAAUGGUGAGAGGUUAGAUCAUAUCCCCAAGACAUACUAACCCCCCCUGUUAUUGGUAAUGGUGAGAGGUUAGAUCAUAUCCCCAAGACAUACUAACCCCCCCUGUUAUUGGUAAUGGUGAGAGGUUAGAUCAUAUCCCCAAGACAUACUAACCCCCCCCCUGUUAUUGGUAAUGAUGAGAGGUUAGAUCAUAUCCCCAAGACAUACUAACCCCCCCUGUUAUUGGUAAUGGUGAGAGGUUAGAUCAUAUCCCUAAGACAUACUAACCCCCCCUGUUAUUGGUAAUGGUGAGAGGUUAGAUCAUAUCCCCAAGACAUACUAACCCCCCCUGUUAUUGGUAAUGGUGAGAGGUUAGAUCAUAUCCCCAAGACAUACUAACCCCCCCCCUGUUAUUGGUAAUGGUGAGAGGUUAGAUCAUAUCCCUAAGACAUACUAACCCCCCCUGUUAUUGGUAAUGGUGAGAGGUUAGAUCAUAUCCCUAAGACAUACUAACCCCCCCUGUUAUUGGUAAUGGUGAGAGGUUAGAUCAUAUCCCUAAGACAUACUAACCCCCCCUGUUAUUGGUAAUGGUGAGAGGUUAGCAUGAUCUUUGAUCCUCUGUAACUUUCUCACUCAUCAUUAUUCACGAUUAAUUCAGAAUUAUCUGUAACCAUGGUAGCAUCCACAUUAAUGUAAAAAAGUUAUUUGAAAUAUAUUAUAUUCUUAUUUACAAUAAAAGUGACUCCAAAAUGACACAAUA